GGGAUAUUAGGUUAAAAGAGAAACUUCUAAUUUCACUUUAUAGCGGUUCAACUCCGUUUAUAUCCCU
rnacentral:tRNA from 1 species